AUUGAACGCUGGCGGCAGGCCUAACACAUGCAAGUCGAGCGGAUGAAGGGAGCUUGCUCCUGGAUUCAGCGGCGGACGGGUGAGUAAUGCCUAGGAAUCUGCCUGUUAGUGGGGGAUAACGUCCGGAAACGGGCGCUAAUACCGCAUACGUCCUGAGGGAGAAAGUGGGGGAUCUUCGGACCUCACGCUAUCAGAUGAGCCUAGGUCGGAUUAGCUAGUUGGUGGGGUAAAGGCCUACCAAGGCGACGAUCCGUAACUGGUCUGAGAGGAUGAUCAGUCACACUGGAACUGAGACACGGUCCAGACUCCUACGGGAGGCAGCAGUGGGGAAUAUUGGACAAUGGGCGAAAGCCUGAUCCAGCCAUGCCGCGUGUGUGAAGAAGGUCUUCGGAUUGUAAAGCACUUUAAAUUGGGAGGAAGGGCAGUAAGUUAAUACCUUGCUGUUUUGACGUUACCAACAGAAUAAGCACCGGCUAACUUCGUG
rnacentral:rRNA from 1 species